CCUACGUGAGGCAGCAGUGGGGAAUAUUGGGCAAUGGGCGAAAGCCUGAACCAGCCAUGCCGCGUGCAGGAAGACGGCUCUAUGAGUUGUAAACUGCUUUUGUACAAGGGUAAACCUGAAUACGUGUAUUCAGCUGAAAGUACUGUACGAAUAAGGAUCGGCUAACUCCGUGCCAGCAGCCGCGGUAAUACGGAGGAUCCAAGCGUUAUCCGGAUUUAUUGGGUUUAAAGGGUGCGUAGGCGGAUUGAUAAGUUAGAGGUGAAAUGUCCGAGCUUAACUCGGGAACUGCCUCUAAUACUGUUGAUCUAGAGAGUAGAUGCGGUAGGCGGAAUGUAUGGUGUAGCGGUGAAAUGCUUAGAGAUCAUACAGAACACCGAUUGCGAAGGCAGCUUACCAAUCUAUAUCUGACGUUGAGGCACGAAAGCGUGGGGAGCAAACAGGAUUAGAUACCCGAGUAGUC
rnacentral:rRNA from 1 species